rfam:Triticum aestivum genome assembly, contig: Triticum_aestivum_CS42_TGACv1_scaffold_374780_5AL
AAAGUACUCCUUCAGUUCGGAAAUACUUGUCUUAGAUAUGGAUGUAUCUAGAUUUAUUUUAGUUAUAGAUACAUCCAUUUUAUUCAUUUUUAAGACAAGUAUUUCCGUACGGAGUGUGUC